GUUGUGUCUUAUGGAGUUCUGCCAGGCUCUCUGGUUGGAGCGAUAGUAAGGAAACCUCUUCAUGAUGAACUCGUAGAUCCCAGAAAGAGUCACCCGCUGAUCUGGACUCUGCUGGAUGGCCAUGGCUAUCAGAGCGAUGCAGGUCUGCACAUCUUCUUGUCGUCGUCGGUGCUGGAUGAAGGAUAACCGUCUCCAUCGUAGUUGAAGCAGUUGAAGGGAUAGUGAGCGUUGUCAAACAUGUCUGCUCUUGGAGGACACUCAUGUAUUUACUGGACUGAAUGUUGUGUACGUCUCCUCCGUGGCCUGGUGCGGCAGCAGCAGCAGAAACUCCUGCUGUGUGUCCUGCUGCUCUGCUCUGCCUCCAUGCUCUGCUCAGAUGACUCUCACUGGGCGCUGAGCUGGUGAUGAUGAAGGUGGUGAUGAAGACGGAAGCUCCUCCUCCUGUCCCGGCUGCUCUCCAGGAAGUGUCUGGAGGUCUCCACGGUCUGGAGGAACACCUCCCUGCUUCAGUCAUUUGUGAACCACAGCCCUGGGAUCUUUACAGGGCACUUGAAGGUCUCCCGUGAGGCGACAGAGGCCGGGAAAACAGCCCCCAGCCGUGACAGGACUCUGUGGGUGGCCCUGCUG